rnacentral:rRNA from 1 species
AUGAAGUUGAUCCGCAGGGGCAAGCGUUCAAGGGCGAAGAAGGGCUCGUCAGCUCCGUUGCAAUCUACCGGAGAUGUUGAUGGUGGAAGCGGGGGUGGCUCCAAUAGCAGGCAAGUGGCGCCUGAGAACGUCCUCCCGGCUGAAUCGACUACAGUCGCUGGCUAUGCUAGCAGCAGAGAUGAAGCUUUCUACGAAGCCUCUCCAUGGUUAGACUCGGACUGUGAAGACGAUUUCUUCAGUGUAAAUGGAGAUGGUACACCCGCGAGAACAUUCAGCACAACUGCAAGCAACCAGGCCACAGCUGCUGCAUUUGAACCUCAGACAAAGCUGCCCACGCUGGAGGCGAUCCUCAAAUCCGAUCCCCUGAAGCCAACCCCACAGAGGAAGAAGCUCGGUGACCUCCUCAAGGAGAAGCAAGAAAGCGCCGAUGGCGCCGGCCACAUCUCCAAGGCUCGCGGCGGAGGCGGAGCUGGGCGGUGCUGCAUCCCUCAGUUGUCGCGGGUCAUCAGCCACAGGGAGAGGAGAAAUUAA